rnacentral:rRNA from 1 species
UACGAAGGGGGCUAGCGUUGUUCGGAUUUACUGGGCGUAAAGCGCACGUAGGCGGAUCGUUAAGUCAGGGGUGAAAUCCUGGAGCUCAACUCCAGAACUGCCUUUGAUACUGGCGAUCUCGAGUCCGGAAGAGGUGAGUGGAACUCCUAGUGUAGAGGUGGAAUUCGUAGAUAUUAGGAAGAACACCAGUAGCGAAGGCGGCUCACUGGUCCGGUACUGACGCUGAGGUGCGAAAGCGU